UACGUAGGGUGCGAGCGUUGUCCGGAAUUAUUGGGCGUAAAGGGCUCGUAGGCGGUUUGUCGCGUCGGGAGUGAAAUCAUCUGGCUUAACUGGGUGCUUGCUUUCGAUACGGGCAGACUAGAGGUAUGCAGGGGAGAACGGAAUUCCUGGUGUAGCGGUGAAAUGCGCAGAUAUCAGGAGGAACACCGGUGGCGAAGGUGGGUCUCUGGGCCGAUACUGACGCUGAGGAGCGAAAGCGUGGGGAGCGAACAGG
rnacentral:rRNA from 1 species